GACGCACGCUGGCGGCGUUCCUAAUACAUGCAAGUAGGACGCAGUUGCGAACGGGUGAGUAACGCGUAGGUAACUGCCUCUUAGAGGGGGAUAACUAUUGGAAACGAUAGCUACUACCGCAUACUAGUAGAUGGACCUGCGUUUCAUUAGCUAGUAGGUAGGGUAAUGGCCUACCUAGGCGACGCUACAUAGCCGACCUGAGAGGGGGAGCGGCCACACUGGGACUGAGACACGGCCCAGACUCCUACGGGAGGCAGCAGGAGGGAAUCGUCGGCAAUGGGGGGAACCCUGACCGAGCAACGCCGCGUGAGUGAAGAAGGUGUUCGGAUCGUAAAGCUCUGUUGUUAAGGAAGCGGUACUUAACCAGAAAGGGACGGCUAACUACGUGCCAGCAGCCGCGGUAAUUC
rnacentral:rRNA from 1 species